rnacentral:lncRNA from 1 species
CGAGGGGCGGGGCCGCGUGGCGACCGUUUAACGGUCACUGUGAGGGGGGUCGGCGGCCGUAGGUUGUGUUGGCCGGGCCGCGGCCGUCGCUGUGGGUUUGGGUGGGUGAGGGAGCGGGCUCGGGUGGCUGGAGGUGGCCGCAGCGGGCGGUAAAGCCCCCUGGAGCCCUCCUGCAAUAUGGUGGAGUGCAUGUCUAUAGUGGGAGGUUCUCCACAAAACACAAGAGAUGUGGAAGCCUGUUCUUACUCCAUGUGUUCCAGGCUGGGCUUUUUUGGUGGCCUACGUCUCCAUUGGUGCACCUUGACUGCCCCGCUGAGAAGCUUUGGUGAGGACUUAGACCACCACUACAGAGCACCAUGGCAGAUCUUUUUUUUUCCUUUAAAUGAAAAGUAUGAAGUUUCCACAGGAAGCAGGAACAUUCUCCAAAAUUGUAAUUAUGUCAAAGAGAUCUUGCAUGCAGGUGACUCUUCUUCCCAUAUAGAACUGAUGGCAGUUUCCUCUGGAGUACAUCAGUGCUGCCCCUGGACUGCUGGAUAGGAAUGAGAGGUGUAACAUCUCUGGUCCUCCUUCUGUAGCAGUUUUGCCCCAUGUGAGUGGUGUGUCCCACAGCAGUAUAUCUCAACAUAUCCUUGGUGUAUAAUUAUACUCUGGAGCUGACUUUUAACAGUGAUAAUUACCUUCCCUGUAGUUUUCCACUAAGGAACUGCCACAUGCUUUACAUGGGUUAAUGAAUUAAGUACUCCAUGUGACAUCGCUCUCUCUGAUUAUGCUUGUUUCAGGGGGAUGAAGAAAACUAAGCAUUAUGAUGGGAAAUGACAACAACUAGUUGGAGCUACACAUAGACCAGCCAGCUUCGUCCAUUCAGGAAAAGUGUACAUUCACUCUGACUUGCAGCCACGACUUAUGACACUAGGCAAUGCUUCCUGUUCUCCUCGCCUUUUUCUUUUUCACUUUGGCUCUUCUUUCUGCCCACCUGAACCUAUUCCAAGAGGAAAGAGCUAAUAACACAAUAACUUGGGGUGGGAAUCUUUCCACUGCACCCUCUCCCCACCCCCGCUCCUGUCCAUACAAGAUUGAUAAUGAAACCGAUACCUUUCACCGGCGUAAUUUUCAUAUUUAAUGAGCGUGACUCAGAAACUAUUACAUUAAUUAGUCAAAUCCCACAAACCAUUAAUGGUGCACACGGUAAUUAAUAUUGUAUUCAAUUAAAAGCUGACCUGUUUCAGGUGCCUUCCCCUGGUUUUGGGGGCUCUUUGCAGACAGCGUAUGUUCCAGUGCCUGAGGCCAAGCCUUUUAUUUUGUUCCAGUGGCGGGCAAGGGAGGUAUUCUUUUUUCCUGUUUUGCUUUUAUGGGUUUUUUCUCAGUGAACAUAUGCUGGUUUCUCCCCCCGCCUCCAUCUCCGAAUGUGGCUGCUCUCACUAUACAGACAACCUGCUUGCUGUGAUUUAUGGGUUAGCACAAUGCGGGGCUCACAGACUGGAAAAUUUCCAGUUUACACAAGAAUUCCCUGAAAAAUGAGCUUGGUUAAUUUAUUUCU